CCCAUGCAGGAGCCCAGUGUCAGACUGAGCCUGUGCCGCAGUGUGGGCAUGAUGGCACAGGCAGUGCGCAGCGCCAGUCCCUCCGGAGCUCCCAGCUUCCCUGCCAAGGCCGAGCUCCUGGCGACAAUGAUGGCUCUUGACCUGCUGCAAUUCUUCGGCAGUAGUUACACUCUAGAUGACAGCUUGGAAGAGAGCUUGAGGGAGGGGAUAUUAUAUCUGGCUGCACAGGACCUCAGACAGACAAUCCAGUCCCUACUGACCCUCACAUCUCCCUCUGAGAGCUCACUCCCGGAGGUGUGGCAGGUCCUCAGUACCAGCCAGGUGGUCUCGGAGACCGUGAAGCACCUCGGCCUGAUGAGGGACAUGAAGGUGGAUGAUCCAGAAGUGGAACACCCAAUCUGCUGGUGUUUCUAACUGAGCAGAGGACAGAUAGUCAGACAGCUGACAGCUACAGCACCGAGGUACUGUCUCCCUGUGAUAUGUUGCUGCCCAAGAGCAGGCAGAGUGACACCAGCAAACAGGCAAGUGACUGUGUGAGCAAACAGAUCCCUGUUUGUAGCACAGGGACAGGCUGGCGAGCACAGAAAAGCUUGGUGCAGACCAGCAGCCCAAAGCCACAACCAGAACAGGCCAUAUCAAAGCUGGGUGAACACAGAAGCUCAUCACACAGCAAACUCCAAACUCAGAGCUGAUGGUAAUAAGCACAGUCUGUAAACAGACAGACACAGCACACAAGCACAAGAGGGUAAUCUAGACAACAAAGGCAGGGUGAAGCUAGGGUCCAGUAUCCAGGGAGCAAUCUCGGCAGUCAGGGAGAAGCUCGAGAGUUUAGUACCGAGUUCCUGAGCGCUGCCAGACCACGGCUUGUGUAGCUUGAACCACCUGAGGCAGGCGUGGUGGACAAUUAUCUUCAGAUGUGGCUGGCUAG
rnacentral:lncRNA from 1 species